rnacentral:rRNA from 1 species
GACGAACGCUGGCGGCGUGCUUAACACAUGCCAGUCGAACGGAAAGGCCCGGCGUUUGUGGGGUGCUCGAGUGGCGAACGGGGGAGUAACACGUGUGUAACCUGUCCUUGACUUUGGGAUAACUUCAGGAAACUGGGGCGAAUACCGGAGAGGAGCUCCUGCUGCGUGGGGGGGGUUGGAAAGUGUCGGCGGUUGGGGAUGGACUCGCGGCUUAUCAGCUUGUUGGUGGGGUAGUGGUAUACCAAGGCUUUGACGGGUAGGCCGCAUGAGAGGGUGACCGGCCUCAUUGGGCCUGAGAUACGCACCAGACUCCUACGGGAGGCAGUAGUCGGGAGUCUGGCAGAGUGGGCCGAAGCCUGAUGCAGCAACGCCGCGUGCGGGAUGCCCGCCUUCGGGUUGUAAACCGCUUUCGCCUGUGACGAAGCGUGAGUGACGGUAAUGGGUAAAGAAGCCCCGGCUAACUACGUG